UGCGGGGGAGGGGCGGAGGUGGAUGGAAUCCUCUUGGAUUAUCAACGCGCGCGCUCUGUCACAACUUCGCCCGAUUUUACAUCGCCGAACGGAGAACACCCGCGGUCCCUUCGGCCAGACCGGGACCAAAGAUCGUACUGAUGAGGACGUGCCGCGCGCGGAUUGCCGUCCGAGCGAAAACCACCGGACCGCCGAUUCCUCACGGUGACACUGCCGCCCGUAAAAGAGGAACAAGCGCUCUGAAGCUAUUGUGCGGGCAGCGAUCACGGCACGAAUGUUAAUGUAACAUUGCGCGUACGGGGCAAAUUAGUCCCCGCGACAUUUGUACGGGGAGUAAUUUACAUAUGUAACGUCGGCGGUCAACGCCAAUGUCGAUGGUAACCAACAAUCGAGGCGGAGGCACUGUACGUGCACGCACACCGCGAGGGCCAUUUUACGCGCUCCUUACGUCCAGUUACUCGUCAAUCGACCCUAAUAACUUGCAGUUAUCGUUCAAUAACGCGACGCGCUGUUUUACAUUCUACACGUGACCCCCCGACGUUAUUAACGUCUUUUCUCAUCGCCAGCACCGGAUUGCCGUUACAAAACGAAGUUCCAGUACAUUAUAUCGUAACCGUAAAGUUCAUCCUCAGGGGUCAUCAUGGUUGAAAGAAUGGCGGAAAAAUACGACGCACCGGGACUUACAACCAUGGCACUGCCCAGACAUUCUUCUCCAUUGUAUAGAACUGCGAACUGAAGCAACGAUUAUUAUAAGUAUUAUUAUGAUGAAAUAAUUAAAAAGCAAAUGAAUAAAGUGAAAACUGUACCUGCCCCUCUGUAAUUGCUCUUAAAGGUUGACUAAUUUUAAUAAUUAAUUCAUUGGUUACAGUUUUCAUAAUUUUACAUGGAACAGGAGGAUCUCUGUGUUGAAAGAGAAAAUUGCAAUGCAUGAUGUUAAAAAAAUUAUUAAGUUUCUUCGGUUCUUCAGAUAUCCAAUGAGGAGUUUCAGUUUUCACUAGAUCUGAAUAUAAUGCUGGGUGAUUCGUUCCUUGUACCUAUGAACAAUAAGUAACAGCAUUUUAUUUUAUUUUCAAUAAGUAAUUAUUCUUUCUAAACGAUUCCUACAUACUACAAGUAUAUUAUUACUCUUAGCAAUCUUCUUAUAUAUGAAAAAUGCUUCUGACUGUCCUGCAAUUUUUACUCUUUGACCUACAGUCCAAUGAUGAAAACCCUUAUGUUCUCCAACCACUUUUCCAUUCUCCAAGUUUACAAAACUACCUGGCUUUUCUGGUAUGUACUGUAAAUAUAAUAAAAUAACAUGUAAAGAGCGUAAUAAUGUAUAGCUACAGUUAUUGUAUACCUCAGAUAUGAAAUUCUGAAAAUUUCGUUUUCCCACAAAGCAUAUACCCAUACUUUCUUUUUUUUUAGCAACUAAAUCCAAACCAACUUUUCGAGCAAUUUGCUUAACAUUAGUUUUCAAGUAAUGUCCCAAAGGAAACAUAGAGUAUCGUAAUGAUUCUUGUGGUAUCUGGCAUAAAAAGAAUGAUUGAUCUUUAUCUUUGU